rnacentral:misc_RNA from 1 species
UCCCCACUGAAGAUGCUAAGGAAUUUGCCGAAAAGGAAGGACUAUUCUUUUUAGAGACCUCUGCAUUGGAAUCAACUAAUGUCGAGACUGCCUUCUUGACAGUGUUGACCGAGAUAUUUAACAUUGUAAACAAAAAGACUCUAACUGGUGCAGAAAAUCAAACAAAUGGCAACCCUGCAUCCUUGUCAGGCAAGAAAAUCAUCAUUCCAGGCCCUGGACAAGAAAUUCCAGCAAAAAGCAAGAUGUGUUGUAGCUCAUUAUAAUUUGAUCAGACACGGAUUUGAAAAAUGUGGUUUUUC